UACGUAGGGUGCAAGCGUUAACCGGAAUUACUGGGCGUAAAGCGUGCGCAGGCGGUUCGCUAGGACCGAUGUGAAAUCCCCGGGCUUAACCUGGGAACUGCAUUGGUGACUGGCGGGCUAGAGUAUGGCAGAGGGGGGUAGAAUUCCACGUGUAGCAGUGAAAUGCGUAGAGAUGUGGAGGAAUACCGAUGGCGAAGGCAGCCCCCUGGGCCAAUACUGACGCUCAUGCACGAAAGCGUGGGGAGCAAACAGG
rnacentral:rRNA from 1 species